CGCCUUCGCGAAUCAAAUGCCCACAGUCCCUCACCACUCACCAACCCUAGCUUCUUCAAGAAUUCAGAACCCAAACCAAAAACCUAGCCUCUUCAACGGAUUCGACGCUGCCGCUUGUCGUUGUAGGUGCCUCCGCAGCCUCCUCCUCCCCCUGUUCCAAACCAAAUCCCUAGAUCGGCACGUCGUCAUCGCGUCGUCUUCUAGUUUCGUUGUUUGAGGCUACGAGUUUGAGAUGCUUGCCGUGGUGUCACCGCGUCGUCUUGCUCUCAGUUGAAGUUAUUGAUUUGAAGGUUAGGGUGAUUAUUUGUUCUGGAACUGAGUCUGUUGUUUCACUGCCUGAUGGGAAAGUAAGUUCUCCCCAUCCUCCAUUGGAUUCGUCCUACUCGUCGCCCUCUCGAUGGCCAGUGACUUUGAAUCUCCCCGAAAUUCUUUGCUGAGAACAAGAACAUUGCAGGAUUUGAUAAUCCAGGAAAAUCUCUUUAUACUACUGUUAGAGAGCUCGUGGAGAACUCACUUGACUCAGCGGAAUCGAUAUCAGAGCUUCCGGUAGUUGAGAUAACCAUUGAGCAGAUAAAGAAAAGCAAAUUUAAUUCUAUGAUCGGUCUCAUUGACUGCGGGCAAGUUGUUGCGGAGUUGUACGAUGAUUAUGAGACUGAAAAGGUCCAUGAGGUGUGUUUGAUUACAUUAUUAUUGAGUUAGUUAUGCCAUAAUGCGAAAUACUAGAAUGUGUCGAAUUGUAUUGUUGUGUGGUAUCAAUUUUUAAUUAUAGCAAUACACUUGAAGCAAAUGGAACGAACCACUAAUUUUUUGUGGCUCUGCUGCGCUGGUGCUGUUUUGUGUUUUUGUUGAAAUCAUUGAAUGGUUAUUUGAUUUUUGGGUUCUGGUUCGGCUGUGCUACUGCUGCUUUGUGUUUUUGUUAAAUUUGUAGUUGAUUAUUUGUGUUUUUGUUAAAUUUGUAGAUGAUUAUUUGAUUAUUUAGCUCAGAGUUGUGUGUUUUGUCAAUUUGCCUGACUUUAAUAUUAAUUAAGUGCUUUAUAGCUGUAUUUUCUCUUUAAAAUUUCUUUUCCAAUUUUGUAUUAUAGUGGAAAUUAAGAUGGAUUCUACAUUCUAGUACUCCACAAUUUUGUAUUAAGUGCUGGGAGAGUAAUACUAAUAUGCUGCUGUUGUGUUAUGUAAUUUUGUGACUUAAUUAUGCUCAUAUAGUUAUAAUUUAUUUAUUAUUUUAUUGUAAAACAAUUUUUUUCGGUUGAACCAUGGUUGAACCGGUUGGACUAGUAAACUAGUGAACCAGUGACUAAAACGGUUUGAUGACCAGUCCGAUUUUCAGAACCUUGGAUAUAAGUGAAUUAAAUUUUGACAAUUUAAUGGUCCGAAAAGCAUAUUUUUAACACCAAAGCACAAUUAGGAGAAAUUCUUAAAAGCAUGCAUUUUUCAUGAAUAAGCGUAAGAUAAGUUGAUAAAAUCUACUCUUUUCAACCCAAAAAUUAUCAUAAAAUAUGGAUUUAUCACUGGCGCAUCUUCCGCUGUGGAACCAGUUCGAGACAACAUUAGGUCAUUACUCUUUGACGCCAACUCCCGCAAGGUUCCCUAAGUUGCCUAAAUGGAGCGUGUCGAGAUGACAACCUCAUAAUGGAUGCGGUCAUCCACCAUUAAGAAAAUACUAACAUCAAUUGCCUCAUUCGUACCUCCUAUAAGGCUAGUUAUAAGACAAAGUAACCCCACCAGACAACAUAGACAUGCAUUCGAGAACAAUGGUAACUCUAUGCUGAUGGUGAGUUUCCAUCCCCAACGCAAUUAAAGUUUUGAUAUGACGUCUCUAAGCUUAUAUACGUUAAAAUUUUGUGCACUAAUUUCUCCACCAAUUUAUUUUCAAGCAUUUGA